rnacentral:sRNA from 1 species
UACGGGCUUUGGUUACACCAUUAAAGCUUUGAGAAGCAAGAAGAAGCUUGAUUAUUGUUUUAGAGUCAAAUAU